GUGCUCGCUUCAGCAGCACAUACGCUAAAAUUGGAACAAUACAGAGAAGAUUAGCGUGGCUCCUGCUCAAGGAUAAUAACUUUCCACAUUUUU
rnacentral:snRNA from 1 species